AGGUUCUACCUGGAACCAACAAGGGUUCUUCAAAAAGUUAUCCUAUGGGGACAGCCGAAUAACCCUUUUAGGGUCUAGAGACAGCACCUUUUUUUCUAAGAGUGUAGUUUUAUCAGAGACAUUUUUAGGAAAAGCAGCUCAUUUAGCAAGCGCAUAAAAUGUCUAUCGGAUAUAAAUAGCUAGUACUAUUCUAUAGGCUUUCCUCCUUGCUAGUCUGCAGGUGCUUGAGUACUUGAUUAUGAUGUUGUGGCUGUAACAUUUCCUGGACAUUGCAUAAGUACAACAACAACUAGAACUAACAACUUUAUCAGAUAUACAUUUUCAGGAAAAGCAGCUCAUUUAGCAAGCCAAUAAAAUAAUGUAUUGCAUUGGUUCAACCUUGAAAUCUAGCUACGCAAGACAGAGAUCUUACCUUUUUGUCUCUGUAGCGGUUUGCUCUAACCUCGUCUGGGCACUGCAACAGCCAGAUAGAAGCAGCUGCACAUCAGAUCUUAUUCCCCAUUCUCUAUUGUCUAGAUUCUACAGGUAGGUAGCCUGUUCUCCUAAAACAUGAGCUACCAGCUAGCCAACUUGAGCAAAUACGUCUCAGCUUGCUAACUAGCAAAGCCAACCAAUUACACAACAAAUAUACACAAAGUAAACAAUUACUUUCCAAACUAAUGUUAGUCUCAACCAAAUGACAAUUACAAAGACCUAUUGCUACGAUUCCAAAAGUAACAACCAUUAGUUACAGGCAAGACAGAAGACUAUUGCUAGCUAGCUAGCCAGCUAUGCUAUUUCAAUGAAAAUAAGAUAGCUAGUGAGCGUCAACUUUGUAGUUGUAAUGCAACAUGGAAACACUUUUUUAAAUUUCGCCUUGCUCUAUUGUUUACAUUAGUAAAUGUAAUUUACUAAUUUUAUCAAUUUUAUCCAUAUUUAGCAACAUCUCCCACCCCCCCGAGUAAGCAAUUCACCCUGACCAGACGGGUAUCAAACAAAGUCAAACUCCUGGAAAUUGACAAGGGAGGGGCUACAAAGUGGUACUUUCAGACCCUUGAAAUUGUGCUAGUUACUACAUAGACGUUCAAAACGUGUGCGGUAGCACAAUUUCAUGCGUCUGAAAGUACAACAUUCAUGCUUUCUAACCGAUUGGUGUACAUUUUUAAACUUAAUUCUUCCGCAUGUCCUUUUUGCAUGAACAGGUGAAUAAAACACAUCUUCUUAAUUUCACACAUUGUGAGCAUUUUUACCCUAGAUUUUUUUCACCUGUUGUGUUUGCAUUUCCAAGUGUAGGAAACGCGUGUCUUCUGUGAAGCUACUUUUCAAAGUAGGAAUUUCCCAGUUGAAGGACAAUUAUAUGGUUGAUUUUCUCUUUUCCAAAAGCCAUAAAGCUUUUCGUAAAGCCUUUAUAUUUAGAAAAUUAUAAUUGUGUUAAUAUACAGUAUCUAUAAAUAUAGAAGCCCACUGAUUGAUAUCUUCAAGCAAGCUUAAGAUCAAAAAACAUCGAUGGAGGAGCUCUUUCGCUAACGUUACCUAUCUCAAUCGGCUUCAACGUGGAGACUGUGACUCGCAAGAACCUUAAGUUCCAGGUGUGGGAUCUUGUUGGACAGAUGAGUUUCAGGGAAAUGCACGAAUAGUCACCAUGCAGUAUGUCUGAAGUUGGGAAGCAGCCUCAACUGGGAAACACAAAUGGGCUGUUCACACAAACUUUUCGAGUGAAACUGUGGUAUCCAGUCACGACCAUAUUCUGUAUGAGAUUCAGCAAUAGUCUGUCAUUAUGAAUUGCUUUGUCUUGAAAUCCAUUUUCCUUACCUUGUAUUGUGUGGAACAAACAAGCCUCACUGACUGUAGAAUAACAAAUCAUGUCAGCUCUAUUUAUAACAUUUCUAUUGGCAACAUUUGCCUACUGAAAAUGCCCCAGGAAAUCGAGGGGUACAAUCAGGGGUGUAAUCAUUACACAAAAUCUAUUGCAAAACGUUUAGUCUGUCACAAAACGUUUUGUAACAGAAACCGUUUACUGCCGAUGCUGUUCAGUUCCAUUUUGUUCUUAACUCCCUUUCCUCUACUACUACUUUUCCUAGCUUCCUUUCCUCAUUUCCUUUCCUAUUGUUUGUGUUUCCUUUCCUGGAUU